CCUGCAGGCAGGGCUGUGGUGAGCAGCACUUUGUAAAUAGCCACAGGAUGCAGGCUCAGGAGAGCCCUGCCCUGGCUCUGGGUGGCUGUGGUCAGUCAGCAAAGAGAAACCAGGGCAGCAAAGUAGGCCAUGCCCCUGAGCCUAACCCUGUCAGAGCCCCCCAGCCCCUGGGGCUGGGGCUGGGCCUACGGGGGGCACGACGGCUGCGUUCCAGCCUCUGCGGGCAGACUCCUGGGUGUGCCUCAGGGCUGGGCUCUGUGGGGCUAGUGCUCCAUGCUUCGGAGGCUCCUCCUGGGGUACAGGACACAGCACCUCCCUUACGGCAGGGGGUCUCCACCAGGGUACGCAGAGCUCUGCCGGGGGGACAGCAACGCAGCUCCAUCACUGCCUACUUUUACAACAGGCUACAUACAAACUAACAUUUCACACAAUGACUUGUUUGUACUGCUCUAUAGACUAGACACUGAAAUGUAAGUACAAGCUUUAUAGACCAACUGAUGUAUUUUAUAACUACAUGGUAAAAGUGAGAAAGUAGCAAUCUUUCAGUAAGACUGUGCUGUGACCCUUGGUAAUUUGUCUGAUUUUAUAAGCUAGUAGUUGGUAAGUGAGGUGUAACUUGGGGUACGCAAGACAGAUCCGACUCCUGGAAGGGGCACAGCAGUCUGGGAAGGUGGAGAGCCACUCCCUUAAGAGCAGGAGGGGUAGCUGUCCUGCAUGCCAUCUCCCCUUAGGUCAGGGCCAUAGAAUCACAGAAUCUCAGGGUUGGAAGGGACCUCAGGAGGUCAUCUAGUCCCACCCCCUGCUCUCUCCCAUAGCCCUGGGAGAGAGAGACAUGCCCUACAUGGGUGAAGCAGGGGGCUAGGUGUAGCCAUUUCUUGCAUUAUUUUACGCACCAAUAGCUGCUAGGAUGAGAGGAACCAUACGACUGAUGCAGCACACUGGUCAUUGUUCUGGAGUAGCCCUGGUUAAAAAGGGCUGUGCUAAUUAGUGGAUUGGGAUGGGCUGAGGAGAGCCCCAAAGGCUAAUUAGCCCAUUAACCAAGAGGUAGAAAAGGCAUAGGAAGAAGUGCCCAGGGGGACAGAGAGAAGCAGGCUUUUCAGAGCUAGAACCAGGUGAGAUCUUCCCCCAUCUUUGGUGGAGUGAGCUAAUGAUUGUACGAUAUUGUAAAUACAGAGCAGCAUGACUGUGCAGGUGGGGAGGAGAACACAGUGAAAUAAACCGUGAGGUGCUUGGCCAGAAGAAGGUCUCUGAGCAGUGACAAGAGACAGGAGUGGGACCCCCCGCCCCCGCCCAUCCCUCUUGAAGGCUUGGCUGGGAUCUGUAGCCAGUGGGGGAGUUUGGCAGCCUGGACCGUGGAGGGGACCCUGCAGUGGCUGGUGAAACAGCAAGGGGAGCUGUAGAAGGCUCUGCCAAGUCUCCAGCAAUCCCACCCCCUGGACUGGCAGCCCGCGCUUGCCUGGCUGGCGAGCAGCAAAAGAGCCUGCAGGACUUUCUGAGAGACCCAGCCAAGGCUCAGCAGCAGCUUCCACAGCUGGCGCUGAGUCCUGUGGUGGGAGAUGGCCACCAGACAUACAGCCUAGGACGGUGUAGGAUGGGCCCUGCGGAUGAUCCAAUGAAUUCCUGGGCACCUUGGAGAGAGCAGCUAUGGGUGGCUCUGAAUGAGGAGCAGGCCAGGAAUUAUGAGGUGGUUCAGGCCACCAUCUUGAAUCAGGUGGGUCUGUCCACUGACCAGUACCACCAAAAGUUCUGAUCCACAAGGUGGAGUGGGGGUUGCAGCCCCAAGCCUUGGCCCAAAAGUUGAUAGACUGGCCCACCUGCAGGCUGAAGCCAAGACACCCGAACAGUGAGGAAGAUAAUGGACAGACUGAACAAUUCCCCUACGGCUUCCCCAAGAACACAUGGGUGUGGGUCAGCGGGCAUCAGCCAGGUUCUGUGGCUCCAAACAUGAAACUGAGGAGGCACUUGUGAGGGCAGAUCUCCCCAGGAGCGGACUGACCUGACAGGGUGGGUGUUUGGGAGGAAGACCAGAGAACCUCCAGCUGGAAAGGAGAUAGAAAAGGAGAACCCAGAGGAGCUCUAGCUGGGGCUUGUCCGUUACAUGUGACCAGUGCAGUGCCUGGGACUCAUAAAAAAAGAUUGCCAGUACAUGGAAUGCAGUUUUCCCAAGUCUCAUAUUUGGGCCAGGACUGGAGGGAAGAAAAAGGGAUCGAAACUGUUCUCCAUUUCACAAAUGUAGACACGGCCUCGGCUUGCGCUCUGGUUUGGUGGGAGCUGCUGAAACCCGACUGGAUGAUUCCAGGAGCAAGUGUAAACCCAGCAUGUGCCAAUGGAGAUAAGAAAAGUUGCCUCUAGCAGUGGUUCCAAUAUAACCUCCCCCAGACCUUCAGAGCCCAACAAGGACCCAGUGUGGCUUGUCCUGAGCCCAGGCAUGAGCCAGCCACUCCCCACUGGGCUAAGCUGACAGCAGUUGUACCAUCGGCCUGAAAGCACUGCUUCUGCUAUUGCCUGAUCAGCAUCACAACUGCCCCAGAAAUUGGUGCAAGGCAAAGGAGCAGGAUUCUGCCAGGCCUGGAGGGAACAGACAUUCAGAUAGAUGACAGGCUAGGUAUGGAGACAUCAGGCAGAACGGAAAGACAGUGGUUAUGUCUCUUUUUCCCCCCUUCCCUUCCAGGUGCUCUACAAGGAAGAACCCACAACAGGAGGCAAACAGCACAUUGCCAGCACCACUGGUAGCUCUUCCUCUGCCUGCACCGGGCAGGCCCUGCCAGCCCUGGUCUUGGCUUGCUGGGAACGUGACCUGUGAGGCAAGCCAGGCCAGGGGAAUUGCUCAGUGUGAGGGGUGUCUGCUGGGGAAGUCCCUCAGGAAGCAGGUCAGAGAGCUGCAGGAGGAGGUGGCUUGUUGGGGAGCAGGAGGACUUAAUUGACAGGAUGCGCAUGGAUACAGCCGGGUGAAGGAUUCUGGCUGACUGCAGACCGAGAACCAGCUGCUCUACGGGGAGGAGACUGGCUGCUGGCCACCUCAGGCAGUAGCUUGUGCUCUUCCCCCGCCACCCCACCCCAAGUCCCUGUCCAUUGAGGUGAAAAACCUGGUAGCUGUAUUGACAACUGGAGGUGAGGGGCAGACCCCAGUGGCUGAGGAGGAGCCACCUGCCUCCAAAGCUGGAGGAUCACAGCCACAGCACCUGAGAGGAGGAUGCGCAGGGUGCCAGAGGUCAGGGACUCCCUUCUGAGGUGGGUGGAGGAAUUCAUCUGCCAACCUGUGAUGUCCUGGGAGGUGCAGGAAAGGCUGGGACUAGAUGACCACUAGUGGUUCCUUCCAGCCCAAUAUUUCUAUGAUUAAGAGAAGGGAUGAAGACAGAGCCAGAAGUCAAAGUGCCUGAAAUGCCACCACCUAAACAUGUUUUGGAGCCGCUGCAGUUCUACAGUUCAGUUAAAGGCUUGGAGCACAUUUAUAUAGCAUGUGCACUCAAAGGUCCUGUUUUGUCACAAACAGCAUAACACGGAUUAAUGUCUGAGGGGGUCGAGGAGAUCCUCUGAGCUGCAAGGGAAAGGAUCUGAGUCUGUCCCCCAGGGGUGGGGGACUACAGGGUGAUCUCUCACCUUCAUGUAGCCAGUGGCCUGUGCUCCCACUGCCAUGCUGGA